rnacentral:rRNA from 1 species
UACGGAGGGUGCGAGCGUUGUCCGGAAUCAUUGGGCGUAAAGGGCGCGUAGGUGGCCUGGUAAGCGUGCGGUGAAAGCCUGGGGCUCAACCCCGGGUCGGCCGUGCGAACUGCUAGGCUUGAGCACUGUAGAGGCAGGCGGAAUUCCGGGUGUAGCGGUGGAAUGCGUAGAGAUCCGGAAGAACACCAAUGGCGAAAGCAGGUAACUGGACUAUUACUGACACUCAACUGCGAAAGCUAGGGGAGCAAACAGG